CUGAAUAUACUGAAUAACUAGAAAUAUUUACCCUCGACCUGCCUUUGUCCUAGAGAUCCGGGAGGGGAGGUGUGCGCCCUGCCCUUUAAAGUUGUGGUCAUGUCUAGGAGGAAGGAUUGGCUUCGAAUUUAGGGCUUCCCAGGAGCAGGCCCUCUUUGUCUCUCUACUAUUUCCUCGAGGGACCACAGGGCGCCGCCUCGCAAGCUCUUGUUUUCUAACCCCACCUUCUGGGAGCCGUGUUUUCCAGCCUGAUUCUAAAAACGGGAGAGGGGCUUUCCGUUUCUUCUGGCAAGGAGUAUGCUUGGCUUUAGGCCUGCUUUGUAAUGUAGGUUGGAAUCUGAGAAGCCCAACACCUUUCCAGCUGCCCCUUCAGAACCAGAAUUUAUUUCCUAUUCCUUUGCAUUCAAUUAACAUCUGAUUGGCGAUGUUAACAAUCUCCAGCCAGCAGGAGCCUGCCAGAGAGUGAGGUGUCCCCAGGCGAUGUCAGAUAGCCAUAGAUGAGCUCCUGGUGCUUGUAGAUCCUGUUUCCUGUAGUCUAACUGCCACCCAUUUCAAGUCUGUUUUUUAGCCCUGGAGAUGGUGACUAGGGAGACGAAGGGGACCUGUUUUGACUUAUGUCCGUGGUCUUGUGAAUUUUAAUAUAGAGGUCAAAACCAAUUGCCAUGCACUCCAGGAGGCUAACAUUUAAUUAUCUGUAACUCAAUUAUUUAUAAUUUUUCUUGACCAAAGUGAGCCAAAACCUGGGAUUCUAAAAUCUAGAAUGAAAUAUUCUUGUUGUGAUGAUAUGUCUCAUAAUGGGAUUUGUCCCACGUGUAACUAAUAUUCUCCACCUGCCUAUUCAGGGCGAGUAGCUAUUUCAGAUGUUGCCGUUUAUCAACUUCCUUACUCAUCACUAUAGCCUCUGCUGACACUGUUGAAAACCUCUUUUGUGACAUCACCAACCUAAUCUGUAUUCCAUGCCUCUAGCAAAAUAUUUUGCCUUUUCUGCAACCUAGAAUCAACCUACAAUCUCUGAAAAAGAAAACCAAUUUUAGCUUAGGCCAAUGUUGGUGUCAGUGGCCUUCUAUCAGUUAAUGAGAACGAGAAAGGAACCGAGCAUCCAGAGAGAUAGAUUUUUAACAUACUUCUAUGUGGGAGGUUUUUCUUUUCGUCUUCUUCUUCUUCUUUUUUUUUUUUUGUUUUUUUCUCCUAUGUCUGAUUUCCUUACAUGACAGGACUGAGGCACCGAGAAAGAGGAGAAACAGUAGCAAGGAGUGUCUUCUGGACUUGAUGCUUGGGUGAACAGAACCAAGGUUGAUGAGUGCUACCUGUGUUCUAUCUCAGCAAUGCCUGGCAGAAGUUUUUCUCUCUCCCUGUGCCCUCCAGGGUGUUGUGGUGGUUGUUGCAGCCUUCUCUUCCUGUACUCUGUUCCGUUCUGCAUGAUCCCUCUUCUCUCCAGGCAUGAAAAUCAACGUGGUUAAUGUUAGUAAAGUCUAGCAGCGGGGACAAUAGAAUUCACAGCUAAGUUGAGGUCAGAGAAGGAGCAGAAUCCCACAGGGGUAAAAUGACACCAGGAGUAAAAUCUUACCACAAUUUCAAUUCCAAGAACACUUAGUCAACAUUUAUUUAUGUAAAAUGUGCUAAGUGUCUGCAACUAGAAAUCUAUCUUAAUCUUCACAAUCCUGAGAGCUCUUAGGAUAACCCUCCAUCAGCUUCACACGAGAGGGUUUCUCCCCACCCCAACCCCAGGGCUGUUUUGUUCUGUCUUUAUGGGUUUCAGGCUGAACUCAGAGACCCAAGAUGAGAGAGGACAAGGCACAGGAAGAGUGAAGAGGGGAACAGUUGUUGACUUCUUACUGUGCCAAGCACUGUACAAAGUGCUUUGGUAUCUCCAAUAAACUUCAGAAUUAUUUUUUAAAAAAUAAUUACUCUCAUUUCAUUAACUAACUUACCUAAAGUCACUCUGAAUAUGGAGGUGAAUUUGGGUUUUUCUCAUUUCCAAGCUUAAGCCUUUUUCCAUUGCAUCACACUGCCAGCCCCUGCCAUCCCCACCAGCAAGGAUCUGUGGCUGAUCUUGGAGAGUAUCUGAAGCAACAAGCCCAGUGCUCCUUAUGCAUCAAUGCCAACCAGAAGUUUGUUGAUUGAUUUUAAACCACAAUUAUUCUCCAGACAUUAAUCUUUAAAUCACAAAAACAGGUUCAUUGGUUUCUCUCAUCUGUACAAUUAAAAAGCUCCAUUGAGAGAGGGAACUAAAGGGUAUCUGUUGGUUAAAUUUGUCAUCUCAGUGGAUUCCUGUGAGGCUUAAAACCAAAGUUUUAUCUGGAAAAUAAACCAAAGGAAUCAAUAUUUUCAAAAUCCAAGCCAACCAGCUUUCUGUGAGUUUUAUAAUAUCAUCGGUGCAUACAACUCAUUUGGGGUUUGUCAUUUAAUUCCUGUGUGUUCCUUUGGGAUGCUAGCUUUAGUCUGCAAAUCAGAUUAACUGGGCUCAAAUCAGCUGUCAGGUGGUAAAAAAUAAUUUCGAAUUCAUAGG
rnacentral:lncRNA from 1 species